AGAAACACCAUCAAAAUAUCACCACCAUCGAUUAACAAACAAAAAAGAAAAAAGAAAAAGUUCCAGUUUUGUUUCGCCUCUCUUCUUCUCUCUUUUAUUUUAUUCU
rnacentral:ribozyme from 1 species